CAGUCGCCGCGGUAAAACCAGCACCUCGAGUGGUCAGGAGGUUUAUUGGGCCUAAAGCAUCCGUAGCCGGUUGCAUAAGUUUUCGGUUAAAUCUAUGCGCUUAACGUAUAGGCCGCCGAAAAUACUGUGCAGCUAGGGAGUGGGAGAGGUACACGGUACUCGAUAGGAAGGGGUAAAAUCCUUUGAUCUAUUGAUGACCACCUGUGGCGAAGGCGGUGUACCAGAACACGUUCGACGGUAAGGGAUGAAAGCUGGGGGAGCAAACCGGAUUAGAUACCCGCGUAGUCCCUGUCUCUUAUAA
rnacentral:rRNA from 1 species